AAGUCGAACGCAGUAGCAAUACUGAGUGGCAAACGGGUGAGUAUAAUGUGGGAAUCUGCCUUUUGGUUUGGAAUAACACGGGGAAACUUGUGCUAAUACCGAAUAAGCCCUUACGGGGAAAGUUUUAAUGCCGAAAGAUGAGCCCGCACUUGAUUAGCUAGUUGGUAAGGUAAAAGCUUACCAAGGCAACGAUCAAUAGCUGUUCUUAGAGGAAGACCAGCCACGUUGGGACUGAGACACGGCCCAGACUCCUACGGGAGGCAGCAGUGGGGAAUCUUGCACAAUGGGGGAAACCCUGAUGCAGCGAUGCCGCGUGAGUGAAGAAGGCCCUUGGGUUGUAAAACUCUUUCGUCGGGGAAGAAAAUGACUGUACCCGAAUAAGAAGGUCCGGCUAACUUCGUGCCAGCAGCCGCGGUAAUACGAAGGGACCUAGCGUAGUUCGGAAUUACUGGGCUUAAAGAGCUCGUAGGUGGUUAAAAAAGUUGAUGGUGAAAUCCCAAGGCUCAACCUUGGAACUGCCAUCAAAACUUUUUAGCUAGAGUGUGAUAGAGGUAAGUGGAAUUUCUAGUGUAGAGGUGAAAUUCGUAGAUAUUAGAAAAGAACACCAAAUGCGAAGGCAACUUACUGGGUCACUACUGACACUGAGGAGCGAAAGCAUGGGUAGCGAAGAGGAUUAGAUACCCUCGUAGUCCAUGCCGUAAACGAUGUGUGCUAGACGUUGGAAAUAUAUUUUUCAGUGUCGCAGCGAAAGCAUUAAGCACACCGCCUGGGGAGUACGACCGCAAGGUUAAAACUCAAAUGAAUUGACGGGGACCCGCACAAGCAGUGAGCAUGUGGUUUAAUUCGAAGAUACGCGCAGAACCUUACCACACUUGACAUGUUCGUCGCGAGC
rnacentral:rRNA from 1 species